rnacentral:miRNA from 1 species
UGUGCUCUCUAGGCUUCUGUCAU